GGAGGGGGCCAGCGUUGUUCGGAAUCAUUGGGCGUAAAGGGCGCGUAGGCGGCUUGGUAAGUCCGUUGUGAAAUCCCUCGGCUCAACCGAGGAACUGCGACGGAUACUGCUUGGCUUGAGUCCCGGAGAGGGUAGCGGAAUUCCCAGUGUAGCGGUGAAAUGCGUAGAUAUUGGGAGGAACAUCGGUGGCGAAGGCGGCUACCUGGACGGGUACUGACGCUGAUGCGCGAAAGCUAGGGGAGCAAACAGGAUUAGAUACCCUGGUAGUCCUAGCUGUAAACGAUGGGCACUUGGUGUUGCGGGUAUCGACCCCUGCAGUGCCGAAGCUAACGCAUUAAGUGCCCCGCCUGGGGAGUACGGUCGCAAGGCUGAA
rnacentral:rRNA from 1 species